AUGAAGUUGCCUCUUCUGCUGUUGGUGCUGCUGUUGUUCAGGAUUCCUGCUUCCAGAGGAGAUGUUGUGAUGACCCAAACUCCAUCCUCCUUGCCUGUCAGUCUUGGAGAUGAAGCCUCUAUCUCUUGCAAGUCUAGUCAGAGCCUCAAAGAUAGUGAUGGAGACACCUAUUUGGAAUGGUACCUGCAGAAGCCAGGCAAGUCUCCACAGCUCCUUAUCUAUGAGAUUUCCAACCGAUUUUCUGGGGUCCCAGACAGGUUCAGUGGCAGUGGAUCAAGUACAGAAUUCACAAUCUAGAUCAGCAGAGUGGAGCCUGAGGAUUUGGGAGUUUAUUACUGCUUCCAAAGUUCACA